GACGGAGGGGGCUAGCGUUGUUCGGAAUUACUGGGCGUAAAGCGCACGUAGGCGGAUUGUUAAGUCGGGGGUGAAAUCCCGGGGCUCAACCCUGGAAUGGCCUCCGAUACUGGCAAGCUUGAGGUCGGGAGAGGUGAGUGGAAUGGCGAGUGUAGAGGUGAAAUUCGUAGAUAUUCGCCGGAACACCAGUGGCGAAGGCGGCUCACUGGCCCGAUACUGACGCUGAGGUGCGACAGCGUGGGGAGCAAACAGG
rnacentral:rRNA from 1 species